UGUUCUCUUUGUUAUUAUUGGAAUUCGGUGGUAUUUGAUAAUCUUUUUCAAAUAUUCAAGUUUAAGAUGGACCUGUGAAAGUACUUAUACCAUACAAAUAAAAAUACAAAGAGAGCGAACGUUAUUAGGUUUUCUAUAUAACGAUGUUCAAGGUCAAUAGAAAACAGGACGUGCUUAGCUUAAACACGUUAUCUAUAAUAUAGCAACAUCCAUGUGGUAGCACCAACUAAUUCAGGACUGUACCGAAAGAAACAGAAGAUGGAAGUUUGCCUGUUGUGUGUCUGUGUAGAUAAUAUGAGAGGUCUAUUUUCUGAAUCAGGAACCUUUCAAAGCUUGGCCAUCAAACUACUAGGACUGUAAGAGAGCGAACGUUAUUAGUUUUUCUAUAUAACGAUGUUCAAGGUCAAUAGAAAACAGGACGUGCUUUGCUUAAACACGUUAUCUAUAAUAUAGCAACAUCCAUGUGGUAGCACCAACUAAUUCAGGACUGUACCGAAAGAAACAGAAGAUGGAAGUUUGCCUGUUGUGUGUCUGUGUAGAUAAUAUGAGAGGUCUAUUUUCUGAAUCAGGAACCUUUCAAAGCUUGGCCAUCAAACUACUAGGACUGGGCUUUGC
rnacentral:lncRNA from 1 species